rnacentral:rRNA from 1 species
UACGGAGGGAGCUAGCGUUGUUCGGAAUUACUGGGCGUAAAGCGCACGUAGGCGGCUUUGUAAGUUAGAGGUGAAAGCCUGGAGCUCAACUCCAGAAUUGCCUUUAAGACUGCAUCGCUUGAAUCCAGGAGAGGUGAGUGGAAUUCCGAGUGUAGAGGUGAAAUUCGUAGAUAUUCGGAAGAACACCAGUGGCGAAGGCGGCUCACUGGACUGGUAUUGACGCUGAGGUGCGAAAGCGUGGGGAGCAAACAGGG